CAAAACUAAGCCAAACCACUGCACUAAAAAUUACAUUGCCUUAAAUCAAAUGCCUUUUUUUUUUUUCUUUUUCUUUUUUUUCUAAUAACUGCAGUAAGAAGGUUUGUUUAGGGAGGGCUGUCUCUAGCCACAGGAAAAGCAAGCAGUUCCCAUAGGGUACCAUACAGCUGGGAGGAGCAGUGUAACAACUGUUCCAGCACCUACUUCACCUCAUCUCUGCAAGGACAGCUGUGUUGACAACUCCUCCUACCCUACUGAGUUUUUUUUUUUUUUUUUUUUUUUUUAAAAAAAAAAGGAGCUGGAAUAUAUAUGCAGCAGCCACCUGGAGAAGGAAGAAAGGGCGGCUCAUAUCAGUGCUUCCCCUAUCCUCUUCCCAUGGCAGCAUGGCUUCCCUGUCCUGGCUUUCAUCCUCAGAACAGGAAAUCUCAACUUUGCCCACACUUCUUGAGAUGGUUUAAGACAGCUUUAUAUAUGAACACCUGAAAACAAGACAGCUUGAGCCUCCAGUGACUGUCAAGGAAGGAAAAAAAAAAAAAAAAAAAAAAAAAGAAGAUACUGUCUCUUCACAGCUACCAUGCAAUUCCAGGAACCUUUCUCAAGCCCACAACAGGGAAGAUAUCUGCCUUGUUCUUUCUUUCUUUCAUCUACAACUACUGCAGACGUUUUGCUCCAGGAUUAUAAGAUUGUGUCUCUAGGAAUGAGAGAGCCUCUGGGAAAGUACUACGUUCCUUAUCUGUCAUUUUGGGAACUGACAUAAACUGCCAUUGAGUUCAUCUGUAUUUCCUAGAAUACGCUCAGGACUUCACCAGAUCAGACCUAUGUAAAAACAAACACAUACAAAAUACUGGAUGUACCCAAAUUUCCUGACUCACUUUAUCAAAUUCACAGCUGUAUAGUUCCAGGUAAAGAAGUAGAUAUACUAUUCUUAUUAGUUUUUCUAUUUCAGAAAACAUGUAAGAUUGAAGACUGUAACUUAACUGAAGCCAGGGAUACGAAAAAAGAGGAAGUAGAAGAAUAAUGUACCAAUAAAAUGUUGACAGUUCUCUGUUUUUUGCCAAUUGUUGAUAAAAUGACAGACGGUAAUGUUUAUGAAAUGUAUAAUUCAAAGCAAAUUUGCCUAGAUAACCAAGUUAAAGAUGCUUUAUCUUCCCUAACAAACAUAAUGCAGCAAUCAGCAAAACCCAGAGUACAUAAUACAAACUGAAAAUGCAAGAAAACAAAUCUUUUCUUUUUGCCUAAGUCAACAUAUUUUCCGAGCACAAAUAAAAUUUUUGGCUUUCUUUCAAAUCUUCACAGCUAAUCAAUAGUUUAGUCAUACGAUGAAAAAUGAUGUAUCCAUAUUCUUCACAAUUGACAUUUCCUAACUGUCUCCAAGGUCGCAUUGAUUGCCAGUUGUUCAGUUUACCCAACUUCUGUUUUGAGCCAAAUAAUAUGAUCUUUGUUUCAUUAAUAUUUAAUAGUAAUUUAGAUUGCGCCAGAUGAUCUUAAAGCUCAUUUAAAUCAGCUUGAAGAUAAUAUUAAGCUUUCUUCUAGUAUAAUCUAUUAUCAUAAAUGAUUGUGUCAUCUGCAUAUAAAUGGUGAGUUGAAUAUGAUAAUGAAGUGCAAAGAUUAUCAAUAUAGAACAACAAAUGCAUCUGACUUAAAAUAAAUCCUUCAGGGACCCAUUUACUCUGUUUUCAGUGGUAAAUGAUGCAUCGUUUCACUUCAAGUAUUCUACAGAAAACAUAAAAGAUUUGGAUCAUGAGAUAUAAUAUUUAUCCUCUGUGGGGAAAAAAAAAAGAAAAUAAAGAUCCCACAUUGUAGAACUCUUUUCAAGUGUGGUAAUUACAGUCCAUAUAGAUCCAUUAUACUUGCAGUAUGACAGACCUUGAUUAAUUAUUAGUGUUUUUUUUUUUUUUUUUAAGAGUGAUUACAGUGAAGAAUGUGUUUUUAUUUAAAGCAGGUUUAGUUUGUAUUUGUUUUUCACUAGCUGGUCAUUCAAAUUAGUUCGUUCUAAUUAUCGGCAAAUACCAUGCCCAUUGAAUAAAAGUACCUGAAUGCAGUUAACAGUGUGACACUCAAAGCUGUUCCCUCUAUAAAAACGACAGCUGGGAGGGCUGCAGGGAAACCCUGCUUGGCAAUAAGGCUGCAUUUAAAAGAAUUAAAUUGUCAAAUUCUCUAGACUCAUGGGCUUAAUUAAAAGUCUGUGGACAAUUUCAGUGACAAAAGAAACAAUUAUAGCAGUCAGAAAUACUAAUAAAUAUAUCAGAAAUGGUUAAAAGCAGUUGAAAAUUAAGUAAGUGCAUUUACUGGCAAAUAUUGUCCAAGGAAAUGAUAACACAUAGCCAUGAUAUGGCACUGUGGAAAACAUGCUGAGGUGAAAGAAACUAUUGGAAUCCAGCACCUGGAGAGCAUUGGGAAAACAGACAGAUCAGAUCCGUGAGGCAGCUAUUCACUGUCCAUUCAAAAUCCUCCUACACAAAGUUCCAGGUAUAUUGUUAUUAUAAAGACUGGUUAUUGUAAAAUUUUAUAUAACUGAAGUAAUCAUUUAGCUUGGGUGCAUGUACUUAUGAAGAAGAUCCAGUGUUGCUUUGGCCUCCUAGGACAUCAGCUCAGAAGCUGUCAGCAUUUGGUCUGACAGAGUCAUCUGUGCAAUAAAGCACUCAUGAAUAAAUUUGGACUAGAAAGUGCGAAGGCUUUAUUUAUUCAAGAAUGAAAUUUGGAAAAGCCUUGUCAAUACAGUCAUGGGAGCAAGACAUGCACAAACCAAGACACGCUUACUGAAG
ensembl:lncRNA